AUACGGAGGAUCCGAGCGUUAUCCGGAUUUAUUGGGUUUAAAGGGAGCGUAGGUGGACAUGUAAGUCAGUUGUGAAAGUUUGCGGCUCAACCGUAAAAUUGCAGUUGAUACUGUGUGUCUUGAGUACAGUAGAGGUGGGCGGAAUUCGUGGUGUAGCGGUGAAAUGCUUAGAUAUCACGAAGAACUCCGAUUGCGAAGGCAGCUCACUGGACUGUUACUGACACUGAGGCUCGAAAGUGUGGGUAUCAAACAGGAUUAGAUACCCUGGUAGUCCACACAGUAAACGAUGAAUACUCGCUGUUUGCGAUAUACGGCAAGCGGCCAAGCGAAAGCAUUAAGUAUUCCACCUGGGGAGUACGCCGGCAACGGUGAAACUCAAAUGAAUUGACGGGG
rnacentral:rRNA from 1 species